GCACCCGGGGGUCUGAGGCGUCCCCUCUCACCCCCGUCCUGCUGAGAGCCCGUCGCCGAGCACGGGGACCGUCGUCCAGAGAAGUGUUUUUCUUGCCGUGUCUUUUGCCUAAGCCAGGCCCACAAGUGGAUCAAACCCAUCCUGCACUGUUGUAUUUAGUCCACAGCAAAACUCCCUUUGAGGAAGAUUCUGCAGACUUAAGGACUGAGGAGUUAGGACUGGGAGCUAAGGAAAAGACAGGAAUAAUUUCCUUCAUAGCUGGUUUUAAAAAGACAAGCCAAAACUAAGGGGAGAUGGUCUGAGGUUUAGAAAUAUGCAGGAUAAUUUUCACACCAAAUAAGAAAAAUGAGAAAUUAUCUUAACUUAUUGUAACUUGUCAUAAAAAUACAUGUUCCUUUCCAGCCUUAAAAGAGGAUUUUAUCAAUCCUAUUGUCUUUGAUUUAAGUUCAUUUUAUAUUGAUUUUUAAAUUCAUACGUUCUUAAGAAAGCAUAAUGAAACACUUGCUGUUUCUAUUAUCUUGAUUAGUGCUUCAUUGUAUAAGAAUUUGGUUAUUGAAACAUACACUAAAUAUUGCACUGUAAAUUGUGUUGUGACUUAUGCAAUACCUUUUGGUAUUAAUAGAAAAAAUUCAAG